GCGCAGCAGUCGAGAAACCUUCGCAAUGCGGGAAACCGCGACGAGGGGACUCCCAGUGCCUACGCUCAGCGUAGGCUGUUCCCGAGCCUAGAAAGCUCGGGGAGUAAGGGCUGGGUAAGACGGGUGCCAGCCGCCGCGGUAAUACCCGCAGCCCGAGUGGUGGCCACUAUUAUUGGGCCUAAAGCGUCCGUAGCCGGCCCGGUAAAUGCCUGGGUAAAUCGUGAGGCCUAACCUCACGAAUUCCGGGUAGACUGCCGGGCUAGGGACCGGAGGAGGGAGAGGGUACUCCGAGGGGUAGGGGUGAAAUCCUGUAAUCCCUGGAGGACCACCGGUGGCGAAGGCGCUCUCCUAGGACGGGUCCGACGGUGAGGGACGAAAGCCAGGGGAGCGAACCGGAUUAGAUACCCCCGUAGU
rnacentral:rRNA from 1 species